AAUCAACGCUGGCGGCGUGCCUAACACAUGCAAGUCGAACGCGAAAGUGGAGCAAUCCAUGAGUAGAGUGGCAAACGGGUGGGUAACACGUGGGUGACCCGCCUUCGAGCGGGGGAUAACGUCCCGAAAGGGACGCUAAUACCGCAUAACAUCCUGCUUUUUAAGAGGCGGAGAUCAAAGCUGGGGAUCGCAAGACCUCGCACUCGAAGAGGGGCCCGCGUCCGAUUAGCUAGUUGGUGGGGUAAUGGCGCACCAAGGCAACGAGCCGUAGCCGGGCUGAGAGGGAGGGCGGCCACACUGGGACGGAGACACGGCCCAGACUCCUACGGGAGGCAGCAGUGGGGAAUUUUGGACAAUGGGCGCAAGCCUGAUCCAGCAAUGCCGCGUGCAGGAAGAAGGCCUUCGGGUUGUAAACUGCUUUUGUACGGAACGAAACGGUCCUGGUUAAUACCCGGGGCUAAUGACGGUACCGUAAGAAUAAGCACCGGCUAACUACGUGCCAGCCGCCGCGGUAAUAC
rnacentral:rRNA from 1 species